rnacentral:rRNA from 1 species
AAAUUGAAGAGUUUGAUCAUGGCUCAGAUUGAACGCUGGCGGCAGGCCUAACACAUGCAAGUCGAGCGGUAGCACAGAGAGCUUGCUCUCGGGUGACGAGCGGCGGACGGGUGAGUAAUGUCUGGGAAACUGCCUGAUGGAGGGGGAUAACUACUGGAAACGGUAGCUAAUACCGCAUAAUGUCGCAAGACCAAAGUGGGGGACCUUCGGGCCUCAUGCCAUCAGAUGUGCCCAGAU